rnacentral:rRNA from 1 species
AGAGUUUGAUCAUGGCUCAGGAUGAACGCUGGCGGUCUGCUUAACACAUGCAAGUCGAACGGGUGUAGCAAUACAUUAGUGGCGGACGGGUGAGUAACGCGUGAGAAUCUGCCAACAGGACUGGGACAACAGAGGGAAACCCCUGCUAACCCCGGAUGAACCGAGAGGGAAAAUAUUUAUAGCCUGUUGAUGAGCUCGCGUCUGAUUAGCUAGUUGGUGGGGUAAAAGCCUACCAAGGCAUCGAUCAGUAGCUGGUCUGAGAGGACGAUCAGCCACACUGGGACUGAGACACGGCCCAGACUCCUACGGGAGGCAGCAGUGGGGAAUUUUCCGCAAUGGGCGAAAGCCUGACGGAGCAAGACCGCGUGAGGGAGGAAGGCUCUUGGGUUGUAAACCUCUUUUCUCUGGGAAGAACAAAAUGACGGUACCAGAGGAAUCAGCAUCGGCUAACUCCGUGCCAGCAGCCGCGGUAAUAC